GACAUAGGUGGCAAGCGUUAUUCGGAAUUACUAGGCGUAAAGCGAGUGUAGGCGGACGAUUAAGUCCGAUGUUAAAUCUCCAGGCUUAACUUGGAGUCGCAUCGGAUACUGGUCGCCUCGAGUGGGGUAGGGGCAGCGGAAUUCCCGGUGUAGCGGUGAAAUGCGUAGAUAUCGGGAGGAACAUCAGUGGCGAAGGCGGCUACCUGGCCCAAUACUGACACUCAGGUGCGACAGCGUGGGGAGCAAACAGG
rnacentral:rRNA from 1 species